CUUUUCUGCUCUCUUUUUUUUCACACCUCCAUCUUCUCCCACCCACCACUUUCACCUUCCUGAUUAACCUUCAUCUCACCCCACACUUCAACCUGCUCUACCCUCCCUCCCUCCCCUUCCUUUCUCCCUCCCUCCCCUUCCUUUCUCCCUCCCUCUCUCUCUCUCUCUCUCUCUCUCCCUCUUUCUCUCUGCACCAGCCGGUGAGUGAGCAGAUUUCAGAACGCAUCUGAGUGGAGGAGGACAAGUGGGGUGGGCCUCUCACCACCUCUCCUUUUCAUCUGUCCUUCCUCUUUCUUCUUUACCUGAGUGGGUCAAUCUGCCUCUAUUUCUUUCUCCAAUCCCCAUCCUAUUUUUGCCUUCUUUUUCUGUUGUUUUUCUAAUGCUUGACUCUGUUCUUUGUCUGUUGUCUUGGCGUCCUUUUCCUCUAUUUCUGUCUGACUUAUUCCCGUAGUUUGUGGUCCUGUUGUUUUUGUUGUCUGUCCGUCCAUCUGUCUGUCGGUGGGGAACAGCAUCCAUCUAAAGAGGAAAGAAGCAUUGCUGCAAAGAGUGGCCCUUUGUUGCUAGGCACCAGGCAUAUUGUACAAGAAUGCAUCCCUGCUGUACUGGUUGUUGGUGAUUUUAAAUACAUCAAAGGUAAGAGAUCUGUGAAGGUAAUAGAGCUGAAACAUCCUAUAGUAGACAUAAUCUUUAAUUCAUCAUCAAUUAUAAUAGUACAAUACACUAGUUUGUCUCUAGUACUUCUGACUCAUCAGCACAGUGUGUGGAGUGUGUUUUUGUGUGCUUGUGGAAAUUAUAUAUUUCCUUGACUUGGGUAAAUUGGCUCUUUAAGUAUUCAAGAUUCAAGACCCUUCAUUUGCCACAUGUAACAUGCAGCAUAGUGUCCAGUCUACAGGUGUUUAGAGCAAAAAAGACAUACAAUAUAUAGACAUACAUUAUCUACAAUUAUGCACCGAUCAGCCACAACAUUAUGACCAAUGACAGGUGAAGUGAAUAACAUCGAUCAUCUUGUUAUAAUGCAAUGUUCUGCUGGGAAACCUUGAGUCCUGGCAUUCAUAUGGGUGUUUGACAUGUACCACCCACCUAAACAUUGCAGGUCAAGCAACCCCUAACUCCCCAUGGCAACAGUAGUCCUUGAUGCCAUUUGUCCCCCUUAGCAGGACAAUGCACCCCAACAACACACAGCAAAAACUGCUCAGGAGUGGCCCAGGGAACACGACAAAGGUAAGGUGUUCACCCAGGUAACACACUCCCCAGAUCCAAACCUUAUUGAGCAUCUGUGGGAUGUGCCAGGAUGAGCCUGAUCUAGAUAGGUCCCACCCUGCAACCUACAGAACCCACAGAAUUCACUGCCAUCAUCCCGAUGUCAUUUCAUAAAAUUUGGUGAACAAAGGUGACCAAUAUGUAUGUCUAUCUGUGUAUUCAGUUGUCAAUGAUAAAUGUCUUAUGUGAGCUUUAAUCAAUAGAAGCAAGGCAUGAACAAUAUUUGUUGCUCCUGUUAACAGUCUACCCGGACAUGCAGGGCUAUACAGAUAACAGAAGUUAACCCAGUAUUAACAUCGAACACUAUUCCCUGCCAUUGUGCAUUCCUAAAACGUAACAACCUGUCCUUUGAAGACAAGUAUCACAAAACUUGCCCUGCAAUUUGUUGGCUGUUAAACAUGGAAAUGUUUGACUUUACAAGCUCAGAGAGAAGCAUCCAGGUUUACUAUUAAUUCUGAACUGCACUGUUUAAUUUGUGGAGGCUGGGCAGGUCCAGCGUGGGCUUCAUCUCCACUGAAGGACCCACCUUGGACCACAAGAUUCAGCUAACCCAGCAUCUGAGUUAGUACUCAGUAAGUGUAUUGUAUGAGGUAAUCAAUGAUACACUGUGUUUGUAGUGUUUGAAGUGCACCUCUCAGUAAAGGCACCUUGAAUGAAAGAGACAUCUCUAAUCCUUCACAGCUUCACAACAGGAAACAAAUGUGUAAUCUUACACACUGACAGCAUUGACAGAUCACCACUUGUGUUCUGUAGUAUUAUUUUCAAAGAAGGACAAAGAAAAUGUUGAAUUAAGAUACAAGUAAGUUAUUAAAGUUUUGGUCAGAGGAACUGUACAUGGUCAAGAUCUGUUGGUUGCGCUGAAGGGUUUUCAAUUCAAUGAUACCUAACUAAAGGGUAGACAGGUGAUGAGAUUGGUCACUCAGAUAUUGGGAUAUUACCAACAUAAAUGUCACUGCUGACAUAGAACCUUCCUGUGUGCAGCUGGAGGAUUUGAGAAGGACAGAGAAAGAAGAGCCAGGCAAGGAUAGUUAGCUGUUGAACAGAUCAGAAGUAAAAGCACAAUUUGUCAUUCUCAUACUAUGUAUGUAGUUUUGUUUAGUUUGUAUCUUGGAUACUGCAGAAGUAAAAUGAGCUUUUAUCAGAUUUAUGUUGGUCCUAAUCUUUCACAGGUUUGACAUGGUGGUUAGAAUACAUAUUUUCUUAAGUAAAAUUUAACAAAAGGACAUGAUUUUGCCAGAGGUAUUACACACACAUUAAAAAAAAACCUUAAUUGGUAAUGUAUUUCUCUGUGUCUCCAGCAGAGGGUGCUGUGACUUCACAGUUCACACAGCCUGGCUUUGGAAUAAAACUGUCACCAUUUCAGCAUUAUUAAUUUGACUUCUUUCCGAGCAAGCUUACUCUACAAAUUUUUCUUGAGCUUAUUAAGCACCAGUAUCAGCAUUCAAGCCAAAGAUAAAAUGUUCCUAAAAAACUGGGCGAAAAAGAGAGUUUUUACUGAGUGAGUUAGUUAAUGGUGGAAUUAAAUUUGGUCUAGGGUUGUUUUCCCUGAUGAAUGUACUUUUCAUUUCCCUUCAUAGCAGAUUAGACUUGAAGACAAGCACAGCUAGAUUGGCUUCCUGACUUUUAUGCUAUUUUAGCUGACAGACGGUUUGUCAGAAUUUUAGUGUUAAUGUACCUUUUGUUAAAUGAGAAAGAGGGAAAAUGAUAAUUUUUCUCUUAACAUGGUACUCAUGAUUAUUUUAUUAAAUUCAUUCAUAGUGUAGUUUCUCAGGAGAAAGCAUAGUCAGGUCAACAUCUACCAACAUUCAUCAAUAUUUCUGCACAUUUUUGGGCCCUUAAAUGUGCACAUAAAGAAGCACCCAGAAUGGCAACAGAACAGGAGCUCUGAUCAUAUGCUGAUGGUCCUUCCAGGUGAGCUCAGAAGUCCACAGGUGUGCAAAUGGGAUACAAGCUCCACCGAGUUUGAUAGAUUGUUUGAUUGACGGCUCUGUUCCCCUGCCUUCUUCCCUCAUCUCGUCUUCCACACACGUCCAACUUGUCCCUCGCUUCUGACACCCCAGACUCUUUGAUCACUCUGCAUGUUUGUACUGCACUGCAGAGAACUACUGAAGACUACAGCGAGAGGAGGAGAGCAAGAGAAGGAAAGGGGAGGAUAGAGAGAAAACAUUCCAUGUCUUUGUUUUUCUCUCUGUGGCAUCUUGCCUUGUGGGAGCGAGGCUCUUUGAGGGGAAUUUGAGAGCUUAACACUGGUGUGUGUGAUUGAAUUUGCGAGCGUGUGUUUGUGUGCACGUGCGGGAACCUGGGAGACUGUGACAGUCUCUCUCUUGUUGACUUCUAAAAGUCCUCCAGUGGCCUGAGACAUGACGCCGUACCACGUCCUCAAAUAACCAAAAAAGAUGUGAGGACAAAAGCACAGAGAACAAAGAAGGAGAGAAAGAGAAACAGAAGAAGUGAGAAAAAAAUACCCAGAAAACCAAAAGGCAUUUGAGAAGAAAAAAAAUUAAAAACGUACAAGAAAGAAUUCAUUAGAGCUAGAACACGAGUGAGACCCAGUGCAAGACACAAAAAUAAAGACAAAUGAGAACAGAGGUAAAGGGGAUAAGACGGAGGUAGAAAAAUGAUGAAAGCAAAGAUGUUCAAUGGGAUAACAAGGAGACGUGUCAUUCAUCUGUCAAGGUGACAAGAAGUACAGCUGCCAGUUUCCUUCACUGAACAUGCCGUUGCUGAUUUAUUGACUUUGUGUCUUUCCGAGUUCAAACUGCGGUUAACUGCUGAGUUUAGAGUGGCAAUGGGCGAGGCUGCAGAGGCCUUUAAGGUGGAUCAAAACAUCACAACAAAUUCUUAACAUGCUCAUCUUGCAGUGACAAACUAACAGCUUGCUCACCACUAUGACAAAAAAUAAAAUCAAUCGAAAAAUAUAAGAAAAAAUGACAUGACACAAUACAUUUAUGCAAUAUAACCAGCUCUGUGCAGCAUGUUCACCAACACACACAGCACUGAUGAUCUGUUCAGCCAAAUGGGAAGCUAGAAGAGACAGAAAUAGAGAGAGGGGAAGCAUUUUGACUUAUGCUAAUAUGGGGGAAGAUCAUCCUGUCCUUCACAAGAGAGCAGCUGUGAAUUAUCAUGUCAUGAUUUCCAAGAUGUUCUCCCUCCAUCCUUGACGGCUUAGAAGACUAAAGGACAACAGCAACAGCACCAACAUCAGUGUUGGGAAUCUAGCAAACUGUCUUGGUUUUUCUACUUGAAUGCUGUUGAAAUUUGAAGAUUAAGUUAAAGAGUUGUAAUUUAGACUGCACUGACAUUACUGCCUACAUUUAGCCACAGAUGGUUUAUACCGAUGAGCCCAAACAUUAUGACCACCCCUGACCACCAAAACAGUUCUGAACUAUUGUCACAUAGACUCUCGGAUAGUUGGUCAGUAAACACCAUUGCAAACUGGGAGCACUCGACAAGGCUUAGCAUUUCAGUGCAGCGCCAACCCUGUCAUCUGGCCAUACCAGUCUCUCCUGCAUCCAUGAUGUUGACUAAGAGGACUGAUUUUUACUGCAAUUAUUGUAAGAUGAUAAGUGCUCAGAUCAGAUUGCUUCUGCCUUGCAUUUCCUGCUCUAAAAUCGGCAUAAAUAUGGGUUUUGCCUAUUAGCUGUAAGCAGUUUAGUAACUGCCAAAAAAGUUCUGAUACAAAUAUCCCACUGAGCCUCAAAGCUCUUUAGCAGUGUUUUCGGUCUCUCUUUUGUCAUGUUAGUCUUUGCAGUGAAAGCAUAUGACUCUCUCCCGGAUGCACACUAUAUAGCAGCAUAACUUUGAAGUGUCUUUAAUUAUCUUUACAUGAAGUUAAGGUGAUGCAUAAAAAGUGGGUUGGCUAGGGCUUCUGAUAAGCCCAGUGAGAGCAUUUUCCAUAGCAAGGCUAAAACAGUCUGCUUAGAUUUACAUAUUGAAUUAAUGGCAAAUCAGUGAAAAUAAUUAUGUUACAGGAAAACAUACAUAAAUAUCCAAAGCCGGUGUGGAAACAAAGCUCAGGGAUCUUUACAGCUCCCCACACCCUGCAUAUUAUGAAGCCAUUCGAAUACUCAAUUAAGCCAAACAUGACAGAGCAAGAAUCUAAAAUUUCAUGCAAAACCCCAGUAGCUACUUUCAUUCUUUCCGUUUCCAAGCUCAUUGUCACUUCUUGUCAUCUCAUGCAUAUCUCAUAAUUUUAUAACUUCCCUUAUGGUUGUAUUUCUUUCCCUAAUUAACCAUGUCUCUUCUCUUCUCUUCUCUUCUCUUCUCUUCUCUUCUCUUCUCUUCUCUUCUCUUCUCUUCUCUUCUCUUCUCUUCUCUUCUCUUCUCUUCUCUUCUCUUCUCUUCUCUUCUCUUCUCUUCUCUUCUCUGAUGAUGACUCGAGCAGAGGGAUAGAGGCUGUAAUCAAAUAUGAAGCUCACCCUGUGCUCCAUUCUUUUAAAUCUGGCCCCAAAGAAGAGGGAUCUAAUUACUUCUUUGCCAUGCAGAGAGCGAGGGUAAAACCAGGACUACCCAGCUUUGUCGGUUUAGCAGAGAAACUGUACAAUCUCACAUUUCUUCACUUCUAAACAGUGCAAAGGAAAGCUUAAUCUUAUUACUAGUGGGAUUCCAAGUAAGCCCAAUUUACUGUAUUGUAAAACAUCAAGGUAAUCUAAUGGCUCUUUAAAGGAUACAAGACAGAUUACCCAAUAAAAGCUCCAGCAUCCAGAUAAUGAGGACUGCCUAAAAAAGACAUAAAGCUGUAGAGCCGUUAUUGCUAACUAAGAUGCAUGCAGGACACAAAGAAAACCCUGCACUGCCUGAUUUGUCCAUGUACUGUAUGCGUAGUAUCUACACAAUGACAGGGGAAAAAAACAGACACAUACACAUACAGUCACAUACAAAUGGAUACACAAAAUGCCCACAGUCUUUGCAGAGAGAUUAGCAAAUGAACCAAACUCCCUCUUCGAAAAACUCUGCAUCUAUCAAAGAGGUCUCAGCAGGAGUUGGCCGGCGCUCGUCUCUUCAUCUCUUUCUUUGCCUGCGUUGUCCUUCUUUACUCUUCUUCAGGGAUUUUCCUCAACAAAAUUCAAAGUGAAAGGAUUUUAGAGGCUAACAUUCACAGCUUUGUUUGGAGAUUAGUCAUGUAGAAUAAAGACGAUAAGUGUGUGUGUGUGUGUGUGUGUGUGUGUGUGUGUGUGUGUGUGUGUGAACAAGUACUGUGGCCCUUUGUUGACAGCUGAUGCAUAGUUAAUGUGAUAAUGACAAGCAGAGAUGCAAUUUGUUUCCUAGGGAGCUGCGUCAUUCAGCCAUUGUGGGGGGUUAAAAGGUCCAUGGCGAAGCAGCAUCAUCAAACUGUACAUCAGCAUUUUAUAUUUACUGCCAAUCACAUCGACUUUGCCGCAGAUUAUGUCACCUAUCUCUGCUGUGACUGUCAGUCUACACAUUUACUCCUCCAUUUCGACCUGUCUGUCGCUCAAGCUGUUAUUAACUGUUCAAGACUGGAUUUCCCUAAAGGACGACUCCUCCCGACAUCUAUGACUAGAGUACCAAAAACUCACUGCCUGUAGGUUUCAAAGACUGAAAGAUACCAUUUUGUGGUAGCUUGGAUUCACAAUGAAUUCAAAUGGUGAUUAAAAAAACAAAACAAAACAAUCUUCUGCAGCAUAAACAGCUUCUUUGUUAUGUUCAAAACAAUCACCACUGCUCAAACAAAUGAUCAAAUAUGCUACUUUUUGUUGACCUUUGAAUCAUAUUAGUGUGUGCAGAGUGGUGCAUUUGGCGGAAUCUGUGGUUCUUAACCUUGGGUUUAUGACUAUUUGGGGGGUUGCAAAAUUGUUUUCACCCAAAACUUUGAGUUGUAUAACAAUGGCAGUGUCCUAUGAAUGUCAACUAUUUUAUUGGGUCAUCCAAGUGUUUCCUUGGAAGAUGAGGGAGACCCAUAUUAUCUCUCUCUAUCAUAUCACUUAGCAUAAGUAAAUGCCGGUGUGGUUCGAAUGACAGAACGCCAUCGUCUAUGGUCAACAGCAGCUCUAGUAGCCUCCGCAAUUCCAGUUCCUGCGAUCUCUUUGCUGUCGUCAAGCCAACUCUCUGCAGGUCUACCUUUCUUUCUCUUUCCGUUAAGCAUCCUUUGAAUGAUUGUUUUCUCAGGCAGUGAUGUCUGGUAGCAUGACCAAAGUAGCUGAGUUUCCUUACGAUGUUAUUAGAUUUUACAUAUUAUACUAUAUUACAGAAAAAAAAUAUUGUGGAUAGUGGAACUGUACUAACAGAGCAGACAGUGCACUUUGCACUACAGACUCUCAGUAAAUGAAUGUGACUGCAGCCCUGGAAUCGGAAACAUCUGUAGAAAGAUGUUCUUUCUGGUGUAAGCUUUCUUUUGCUGAAGUUCUCUCAUUACUUCAUGCCCCUGACUUGAAAGCAGAAGUAGAAGCUUUUAUCAUCUGGGUUGUCAUGGCUUUUGGUUGACUUUGGUUGGAUAACUUAACUAACGACGAAUGAAGUAUCAUGAAUUUUGAAAGAUGUGCGUGCUUUGCUCCACACAGACCAGGUGUGUAUUGAUGAAAGCACGUUUAUAGGUGCUGAAAGAUGUAGUCGCAACCACACGUACAAACACGUACUCCAUGGGUCAGACAGUAAUUAAAAAGUGUUCUGUUCUUGGAGUCACAAGGUUGUAGCUGCCUGCAGUCCUGAGGACUGCAUAAUGAGAGGCAAAGAGCAGCAGUCUAAUCUCCACUUACCUUCUGUAGUUUAACGCUCUGUCAGACACUUUUCAUUCUCCUUCUGAAUUUCUCUUGUUUCACAGUCAAAUUGUCAUUUUCUACUUUUUUCUCAGUUAACUAAAUGAAAAGAAUUGAAUAAAAUGAUUUAUUAAUAUAAUUUUAUGAAUAUAAUUUAUUAAUAUAUUUUGAAAAAUGUUGCACUCCCAUAUUUUCAGGUAUCAUUUGCGUUGUGUCAACAGUAGUGUAGUAUUAAUGAGAUCAAUAACACUCAAGAUGAGAGACCACAAAAAGAGCAGACCACAAAGCUAUUCCAAAACAAAAAUAACAGUUUGCAUGGAAACACAAAGUGAGCUCUGAGAGACUGGUCUGUCUGAAGUUAGAGUACACAGACAGAAAAUUCAUUCAGCUUUUGCUUUAAAGACGACAGAUUGUGUUUUCCACCCCUAAUGGUGGAGAAAUGAUCAACUAUAUAGAGCAGAAUUUUAAUUUUGUGACCAAAUGUCCACACUGUAGGAAUGCAUAGCUGGAGGGGAUCAGGAAUCUUUUGUACUGAUGCAUAGUGCUUUGUUUUACCCACAUUUUACCUUGCAUAAUGCUUGUCUCUAUUGUACGUAUACAUAAACUUUAUUUUUAUAAACUUUUAAAAAUGUUUUCCUAUCUGUAUUAAGAGGCUUUCAUAUAUUGUUUCCUGGAUUUGUAAGUUUUACUGCUACUGAUACUGACUUUUUGACACACCGCAGUAGGAAAAGCAGAUAUUACCAAUGACAACAAUUUCUCUUGUGUCCAAUCAGGACCCUUUAUACUGAAACCUUUUCAUGAAUGACACCUGUGCUUUUUCUGUUGCAACACAUAAAAACAACUUUUACACCUAAUUUCGUCAUAAUGUGUUUUUUUUUUUUUUAUGCAUGAUUAGGUAUACUGUGGUUCAAAAGUCUGAACCUGCUCGUGAAGAUGCAUUGAUUUUGCGUUUGCAUCAAAUAUAAUCAAAUUUAUUGACUAAAAAGGACAACACCAGUUUACCAGUCUCUAAUCAACAUCAACCUAAAUUUCAGAAUACCUUGGAUCUGCCCUCUAUUUGUCUAAUGACAGCAGCAGUCAUGUUGGCAUGGACUCCACCAAUUUGUACAAAACCCGAUGACCCAUGUUAUCCCUGCAUGACCUGACUAUAGUCCCAACAGCUUAUUUUCAUGGCAGGAAUGUUCAGUAAAUGCUCAGUGGGGUUGAGGUCAGGUGACUAUGGAGGAAGGUCCAUGACAGUCAGCUCUUCUUUUUUGGUCCUCCACUAGUUCUUGCAAGGCUUUGAGUUGUGUUUGAGCUCAUUAUCCUGCUGCGGAUUGAAUCCUUCUGUACAUACAGUGUAGCAUGUGCCUGAAGAAUGGAGUGCUACCUCUCCUUGCUCAGUUCAGUGCAGGUGUCCAACUCCAGAGCAGACAGAACCCCCAAACUACCAACCACUAACCUCCUUUUGACAGUACUUUUGCUGAUUGGAAUCACAUGUUUAGCAAAUUAAUUGAGCCAAGCUUGACUUAUAUGUCCUCUGAUUGUGUGGUAUUUUUUUUGUUUUCCUGAUUGUGCCUUGAGUACAACUGAUCCAGGUUCAUUUUCGUGCAUUUUAGAAAACCAUGCACUUCCCCCUUAGAAACCUUUAGUCUCGCUAUGAUUUGAUGGUGAGAAAGCCCCUAUUUGCUUGGAGUAACAAUUUGAAUUCGAGACUUUCACUUACUAACACAAUCCUACUCAGUAGUUCUGCUGGGACCUUGAGCCACAGCUGCAUUUAUGACAACAAUAGCUGAGAGUUGAUUUACUUUGAACGAACCUCUGGGGAUGCAUCACAUCCACCAGAGUGUCAUAAGAAUGCAGCUUCAAUAGUCCUUUUCACAGCAGACAAUUUGACUUGUGACAGUAGGGAGAGCGCAGAUGUAUUAAUGAAGGGUGCAUUGCGCUCAGGGGAGGCCCCGUUUUGGACGUGCUGGUUCACUGUUGUGGCUUGCUGGCACACAUUUUGGAACCAGCCAUCAUGUAUUCCACCUGUUAUUUCCCCACUGUGACAAGUUGAAAUGCCUGCAGUGAAAAAAAAGCUCAAUGGAAGGAAACCAACUCAGAAUGUGACCUUUUACACAAAUGAGUAAACAUUGUCAGCGACACAAAUUUGAUCCUGAAGGUACAAAAUGUGAGAUUUUAAGCAUGAAUAUAGCAUCAAUGUAGCGACAAACACCUGCAAUGUAAUGAAUAAACUAGCAUACGUGUCCUUAGCAGAUAAUAAAGUCACAUUCAGGGCGCCCGUAUAGCUCAACGCGUUGAGCGGGCGACCCAUGUACAGGGCUGGUUCCCGACGCAGCUGGCCCGGGUUCGAUUCCCGCUCGCGGCCCUUUGCUGCAUGUCUUCCCCUGACUCUUCUCCCCUGUUUCCUGUCUCUCUCUCACUGUGCCUAUCCAAUAAAAAAAGCUGACAAAAAGGCCAAAAAAAUAACUUUAAAAAAAAAAAAAAGUCACAUUCUU